UGGUAAAACACAGUACUCUUUCUUGUAAAUUCCCUGGAGCCAUUUGAUUCUCAGAUGUUGCCAUUGCUUAUUUUUGCUGAACUCUUGUAUCCAUGGCCAACCUAUGGUUAAAAUUCAAUCAUAAUCCAUCAAAUUGAGUUGUCUCCCAACCCACUGUUUUUCCAAUAAAUUCAUUGUCAUUAAGUGUAAUACGUGAUACAAACUCUGGUUGGUUUAAUCACAUCAAUGAGUGAGACAGAAAUGAACCGAAAAGAUAUAGAUCUUUAUUCAUCAGUGAUGUGAGCAACUUCUUUGCUAUAUUGGAUCAUUUUUCCAGUACUGGACGAAUGUUUUGUGCCAGUCAUAAUAUAAUGGCUAAAAGCUGGACACAAUUUUAAGUUUAGCUGCAGUGUUAAUUUUCUCCAUUAUUAGGCUAGGGGUUGGGAAAUGUUUUCUACAAAGGACCAGAUACAUAUUUGCCGGACACCAAUGGUCUCUGGCACAUAUUCUUUGUUUUAUAUUUUACCAACCUUUAAAAAUGUAAAAGCCAUUCUUCGCUUGAGCAAGGGCCUCACUUGGCCUUCAAUCUCUGAAUUGUAGCAUUUUCAGAGUUCCGCAGUGUAACUAUUUCUCCAAUGGCCAACUUGGGAGUAUCUGAACCAACUUGAAAUACCUUGAAUGCAGAGUUAGGGAAAGUAUUUCCACCAUACAGGUACAAGAGAUGUGAGUAACCUCAAAAGCAUGGGUUUUCGUAAAGUAAUCAUGAAGUGGUGAGUUUUGAGACCUUGGUUUUGAUAGAAUUGAUUUCACUCUAAGUUUAUAUAAUUCAAUUUUUUAUAACAUCUGUGUUUAACAGCUAGCUCAUGGAAUUCCUGAAUAUUUAACAAUCAGCUCUAACUGGCUCUAACUCCACACUGGUCUAACCUCUAAGUGGGCCUGGGGGUGGGUAAGCCAGGCUUCUGGGAGGGUAGGCGAUGUUCUGUUUCUGGGUUAAACUUAGACACACGGGAAGGUGAAACACCCCUGCCCCCCCCAAUGAGUCAAUGCCCUGUAUCAUCACCUCCCCAUGAGUGUAGGCGGGGCCUGCAAUGUGCUUCUAAUCCGUAGAAUUUGGUGAAAGGACUGUGAUGUCAUCCCUUCCCUUUGGGUCGCAUCGUAUGUAAAGGGAGUUGGAUGUCACGCCCAACACUCGCAGGACCCCAUGACAACUGGAGACAGACUCUCCCGCUGGCCUCUCGGGAGCAAACAGCCAUGUUGUGAAUGGCCCCAGAGAAGGACGCUUGGCAGGGAACCAUGGAGCUUCUGGGACCUGAGGGCAACCAGCAGCCCAGAAGAAGCUGGGCCAGCACCUCAAUCGUGGCCACGUGGGACCCUGAGCAGAAGACCAGCUGAGCAGUAUACCGGGACUGCUGCCCCACAGACACCAAGGGGCGGCGACAGAGGAUGAGCAGCGCAGAGCCUGGGACGCUGCAACCAUCAGGCUUCUGGCGUCAUCAUCAACCGAGGAAGCUGGAGCCCUGGGUCAAGCCACACCGAAAUUCCAUCUGUACCCAGAUCCCAGGUGAGAACACCAGGGCUCCCAGGGGCCAAGCAGCUGCCCUGGUCUAGUCACGAGAACAGGCCACUUAGCGGAAACCUAGGAUUUAAACACAGCAGCACAGCACUGGGGCUUGGAUGAUGGACACUCAGCUCAGAUGAACUUAGACUCCAUGAGAUGCAAUCAGCAAAAGUGGGAAACAGACUCUGGGAAACUUUAAUGAACAAGUGACCCCGUUUUUAAAAAUAAAUCGAAAGGGGGAAAAAAGGAGGCGGAGGGAAAACAUGGACUAAAAGAGAUUAAGAGAAUCCUCACUCGUUUUUGGGAACAUAAAAUGCUGCAGUCACUUGGGAAAACGGUCUGGUAAUUUCUUUAAAAGUUAAGUAUACAUUCGGCGUGUAACCCAGCAAUUCCACCCCUGUAAAUCUACUGGAGUGAAAUGAAAACACAUGUCAACAAGUAGUGCAUAAAAGUUUAUAGCAGAAGUUUUACUAAAACCCAAACUGGAAGCAACACGUGUGUCUCUCAACUUGUGGACUGAUUUCUUUUUUUAAACGGUGGUAUAUUCAUACAGCAAAGCAUUGUCAGCAAUAACAGGGAUGAACUGCUGAUCCGUGCAACAUGGAUGAACCCCAAAACCUUGCGCUUUGCGUAAGAAACCAGACACAAAAGGCCACAUAGCGUGUGAUUCUGUGUAUGGGAAAUAGGUAGAAAAGGAAAAACCCUAGAGAAAAAAGCAUAUCUGUGUUUGCCUGACGCUGAAGGUCAGAGUGAGAAUCGACCGCAAAUGGGCGUGAGGGAACUUUUUGGGUGACAGAAAUAUUCUGAAACUGGAUUGGGGUGGUUAUUGAACAACUGUGCAAUUCUCCAAAAGUUUGUCCAACUGUACGUUACAGUGUGUGAAUUUUGUGGUAUGUAAAUUAUACCUCAAUUGAGGUAAAUUAUCCCUCAAUAAGGUUAUGAGAAGAUGAAAAUCUAAACACUGGCCAAAAAUUGUGUACUGUUAAGGCAGGAUUAGGAUUCUUUCGUGGAUUAUCGUGGUGAUUUUUUUUAAAACCAACUCUUAUCUUUUACGGAUACGCACUGAAUUAUAGGAAAUGAUAUAAUGCCUGAGAUUGGCUUCAAAAUAAUACGAGAGGAUUUGGGCGGCUUAUAGAUGAAACAAGGCUGUGUAUACGGAUCCCCGCUGGAGCUGGGUUUUGGGUACAUGGAGUCUUUGAAAUCGGUGUGUCGUGUGUUUUACACGGACAGCACAUCUCACUUUGGCUGGGUCCCACUUCCAGUGCUCAAGAGCUAUAAAUGAUAAAGCGGCUAUAAAUUAUCCCUCGGGGGUUUCUGCGUGUAUUCUGGGUCGUGAAGCCUUAGAAGGACCAUCGCUUCUGCCCAGCUGCAUCCUCAGGGUUGUAGCAAAGGCUCCCGCCGAGGGCACAACCCCAGUGGCUCAUCAGUCAGGGGCUGGUUUUGUCUGCAGUGGGGACUCUCCACUGGGAUGACACCACUGACUGGGCACUCGGAGGGCCUGACUUCAAGCCGCUGAUUUAAAAACCUGGCGUGACCUGUUCACCGGGUACAAAGGUGACUUACGCAGCCCAUCGGAUGUCGCUCCAGAAGAGCGGGCCCCUGAGCGCUUAGAGGAUCGAGCCUGUUUGUGGUGGAAAUAACAGCACAAAAACCUUUGCGGAGAAGCAGAAACAGAGCUGCUGAAUUACUGCUUGGAAUGACCUCUGUUUCCACUCCUGCACGCACGGAGCUUACAUUGGUCCAUAACACACCGCUCCCAGCCACGCAAGAAAAAAGCUAGACGAGCUGAAGAAUGAAAACUCGUCUUAGAUCUGCCAGAGCAGUGAGGUCACAGGGCAAACCGCCGCCCUAGGUUGUUUGGACAGACGGACGAAUGCAGAGUCACGAUGCACGAAGCCAGAGAACAGGAAACGGUGGGGGGGACCCAGGGCUGGGUGGACAGAUCACACACCCCUGGGGGCCCGUCCUGGGGGCCCUGACACUGCCAUGAGUUUUACCACUCGAAACCCUGCCAGGUUUUCACAGUAAAGAUCAGGAAAAAACCAAAUCCCCUUGAGCUUCCUUCCAUCAGGGGAGGAAAACAGGCAUCGCGCGUUCUUUCUAUUCUCCGUGAGGCUUGCCUGGCUGAGCAGCUUCUGGGGGCUUCUGCGGAGCUGGCCCUCGGGCUAAGAGCCUUGCUUUCCUUAUUUCCAAGUCGAUUUUUACGAAACACUCUGCAUUUGUUGAGGUCACAGGAGUGACUCUCUCAGUGUCCUCCAACAGCCCUAAGCCCAUUUCACAGCAGAGGAAACUGAGGCCCAGUGGCCAAGUAACUUGUUCGAGGGCACAGAGCUGGUUAGCGGUGGGGCUGGCGCCCCUCCCCCAGCACCUUCGUUCCGCUUUGUCUUGACAUGGAGAAUCCUCCAGGCUCAGGCGAACGUCUGGAAGACGCAGCCCUGCCAGCGUCUCACGAGAGACCCCGAGCCAGGACCACCCCACUGGGUCACCCCCAAAUUCCCGACGCACAGACACUGUGAGAUGGUACACGUUGAUUGGUUUCAGCUGCUACGUUUUGGAACCGUUUGCUGUUACACAGCCACAGAUGAGUAACACACAGAACAUCUUUCUUUCUUCCUGAGCGCCAACACCCGAAUGUUCUGUCAAGAGUAGUUUUCACCCCGGCUUUGUUUGAACAAGUUUCCUGUGGUGUCGAAGUCAGACAUGUCUUUUCCUGAAUUAGCGUUUAAGAAAUAUGAUCGGUUCUAAAUGACAGGGUGGCCAGGGGAGGCUGUAAAAAAAAAACAAGCCCACCUGUUCCAAGUGAGCUGAGGACACGGGCCAUGUCUCUCUCAGGUUUUGGGGGCCUCAAAUGGGUGAGGAAGUUUCUUGGAGGAUCAUUCUGUCUGUCUGUCUCUAUCUUCUGUGGUGAUCCAAAAAUGCGGUCCUUCUCGGGAGUGGUCAGAGGCCCAUCUCUGUGUGAUGUAACGCCCCAGGGACUCAGUGAGCAGACAGGAAGCAGCACUGGGGAUGCAGAGAGGAUCCAGAAGGAUAUAGAAGCAGCAGGAAGUGACAUUCAGCAGACAGGAAGAGGAAGGGGACGCUGAAAGCACAGAGAACGCUCUGGGCUCAUCGCUCAUUUGCCAGAUGCACCUCGAGCUUCAGGCCCUCGAAGCUGUGAGUGUGGACCCGCCGCUUUCAGAUUCUGAGGCUUCCCAGCCCAUCUGCCCACCUUCAGGCCCAGCCAGGACUAGGUGGAGGGUUUCCACCGGGCCCCUGUGUUGUGAUGGGGAACAGCAGGCCAAGCGAGGACCCCUUUGGCUCAGGGCAGGAGGGUGACCCCAUCGGCGCUUUUUGCGGAGGUCUUGUACGGCUCUGCCCGGACCACGUUGGUGUGAUUCCCUGACUUUGGAGGAUGAAGGGAGGAGGGGGCAGACAGCAGCCCAGCCACACCCCGCCCCCAGAGCAGCACCGUCCAGAACUUUCUGCAGUUAUGGGAACUUUCUUCAUCUGCACUGUUCAGUACAGCAGCCAUUGGCCACGUGGGUCUCCAGAUCCAGCUCUUGGAAUGUGGCUCGUGCCGCGUUUCACAAGGAAGGGUUUCAUUUUAUUUCAUUUUCGUUAGAGUAUAAGUGUAGAUAGCCAGAUGUGACUAGCGGCUUCUGAAUUGGACGAUAUGGCCCUUAAUCCUUGUUUUGGGUCUAAAAUCACAAACUCUCUAGAGAUGUAUAAAUAUAUAUAUUUUUAAUUUUAUAUUAAAUGUACAUAGAGUAAAAGGUACAUGGAGUAAAAUUCACUUUUUCUGUGUACAGUUCUGCUACUUUUGACAAAUACGUGGGGUCGUAUAAUCACCACCACAACCGUCACCUCCCACCCAGGAUUCCCACAUGUCAUUUUGUAGCUAGCCUCUCCGCAGACCUCCAGCCCCCAGAAUCACUCAUCUGUUUCUGCCUCUAUAGUUUUGCUUUUUCCAGGAUGUCCUACAAAUGGAAGCAUACAGGAUGCGCUUGGGGUCCUCUGUGGUGUUCUCUGUAUGCGUCCUUUGCUCCUUUUCAGUGCUGCGUGAUGUUCCGUCGUACGGUUGUGCCUAAGUUUGUUUUCUGUUCCCCUAGCGAGGUGCGUUUGGAUUGUUGGGUUGUCGAGUUUGGGAUCUUUAGGGAAAAAGCCACUACAGAUAAUCAUGUACAAGUUUUUGUGUCCACACAAGUUUUCAUUUCGCUUGGAUAAAGAGCUAGUGAUGGGGUUGCGGGUCAUUCGGUAAGGUAGUUGAACUGUAUGAGAAACGGCCAGACUUUUCCAAAGUGGCAGUACCGUCUUGACUUCUGCGAGCCAUGUGGGAGAACUCCAGACCUUCUCAUCAGUUUUCACAGAAAUCCCAGUGUGGUUUUAUCCUGCUUCCUAACAACGAAUGAUGUUGAGCAUCUUUUCCUGGGCUUGUUUUUCACGCCUAUACCUUUAGUGAAGGAUCUGUUCGUGUGUUUUUGUUUUGUUUUGUUUUUAAGACUUCAAUUAUCUUUUUUUUUUUUUUUUUUUUUGGCUGUGUUUGGUCUUUGUUGCUGCACACGGACUUUCUUUAGUUGCGGCAAGCAGGGUCUACUCUUCGUUGUGGUGCGCGGGCUUCUCAUUGCGGUUGCUUCUCUUGCUGCAGAGCACGGGCUCUAGGCACGUGGGCUCAAUAGUUGUGGCUUGAGGGCUCUAGAGCACAGGCUCAGUAGUUGUGGCGCACGGGCUUAGUUGCUCCGCGGCAUGUGGGAUCUUCCUGCACCAGGGCUCAAACCCGUGUCCCUUGCAUUGGCAGGCGAAUUCCUAACCACUGCGCCACCAGGGAAGUCCCACGUGUGUUUGUUUUUAAUGGAUUGUUUUUCCAGAUAUUCCAUGGCCUCUUUUUAACAUGGCCUUCAUCGUCACCCACCAAUACGGCGUGUUUUUCUUGUAAACGGUUUAGUGUCUUGUAGUGAAUUUUGUUCCUUUUUGUUCCUGCAGCCAGCUCCAGAGGCUUCCAUCAGGGUAAGAGCCUGCGUGUCGUGGGCUCCCAGCAGUCGACUGGGUCCUCCCUCGCAAACUUUUUCUUUUUCCUUUUUUGAGCGAAUGCAUCGUGAAGCAGCUUUAGCAGCCCGUCUAGACGCAAGAGAGUGUGAGAAGAAUUCACUUUCUCCGAUUCUGGUUCUAUAAUGGCUUUUUAUUGCCCCCUUUCUGGACCUCUCUGUUGAAGCUGUCAGUGUAUUGAAGGCUUGCUGUUUAAGAGGAAAGGAACUUGCAAGGUUCAGUGGGUGUCUCGGAUUGCAGGGUCAUCGUGAGUCAGCCCUGGGAGCUCCUACCAUUGUCACGUACAGGUUCUUGCGGGUCGGGAAAAGAACUGUCCAGGUCUGUCAGUCUGCGCAGAAGUCUUCACGUUUAAUAUCGUCACGCCUGAGGGCCGUGGAAGCACAUAUAUCCCUCUUGUUCUCAAACAGACCUGUCAUUAACAAGAGAGAAGUCACCCCAGAUGAGCCAGAGGAAAGAACUUUGGAGGUUUUAUGUAAAUCUCUCUCUUUAAAGAAAAAAUUGUGGUAAAAGACACGUAACCCAAAAUUUACAAUCUUAACUAUUUUAAGUGUACAGUUCGGUAGCGUCAAGUACAUUCACAUUAUCGUGCAGCCAUCGUCAUCUCCAAAACUUUUUCAUCUUGCGAAACGGAAGCUCUGUCCCCAUUAAACACUCACUCCCCAUUCAUUCCCUGUCCCUCUGGGAAGUAACCACCCUUCUACUUUUUGUCUCUAUGAACUUGACUCCCCUAGGGACCCCACAUAAGCGGAAUCAUACAGGACCUCUCUUUUCGUGACCAGUUGAUUUCUCUUAGCCCCAUGUCUCCAGGAUUCAUCCACGUUGUAGCAGGUGUCAGGAUUUCCUUUGUUUUUAAGGCUGAAUAAUGUCCCAUCAGACAUGUCGGUGGACCCUUGGCUUGUUUCCAUCUUUUGCAUAUUGUGAAUAACGCUGCAUUGAACGUGAGUGUACAGAUGUCAUUUCAAGACCCUGCUUUCGGGACUUCUCUGGUGGUGCAGUGGUUAGGAAUCCGCCUGCCAGUGCGGGGGAUACGGGUUCGAGCCCUGGUCUGGGAAGAUCCCACGUACCGCAGAGCAACUAAGCCCAUGCACCACAACUACUGAGCCUGCACUCUAGAGCCCGCGAGCCACAACUACUGAGCCCACGUGCUGCAACUACUGAAGCCCGCGUGCCUAGAGCCCGUGCUCCACAACAAGAGAAGCCACCUCAAUGAGAAGCCCAUGCACGGAAACGAAGAGUAGCCCCCCCGCUCGCUGCAACUAGAGAAAACCCGCAUGCAGCAAUGAAAACCCAACGCAGCCAAAAAUAAAUAAACAAAUUUAUUUAAAAACAAAUAAAGACCCUGCUUUCAAUUCUCGUGGGUAUAGACCAAAAAGUGGAAUCGCUGAAUCAGAUGAUCGUAUGUUUUCCACCAAAGUGCUUUCUAGAGGGGCUGCAGCGUUCUCCAUUCCCGCCAGCAAUGCGUCUGUAAACGUCUUUGUCUGAGAUAAAUAUUGCUUGACUCCCUUAACUUCUCCCCAUCUCCCUAGUUCAGCCCCUGGCCUGGUCUACGAGUUUCCUAGCUGGCCUCCUAUGGUCACGCAGACCCCUUUCGGAUUCAGGCUCUGCCCGACAGCCAGUGAUCCUAAUUCCGAUA